AUGACUGAGUUUGUGUUCUGUGCUGAAGGCCCUACAAAGGAGGGUCCAUCUGCUGGUGGAAAACGCGCCCGCACCAAGGAAAUUUUGGAUGCAGAUGCUUUGGAGCCUGAGGCACCUCCUCCCCUACUGCCCCCAAUUCCAAUGAGUUUUAAAGACAAAGUUGCUGGUGACUUUGGUAUGGCUGAGGAACAAAUGGAAAUUGGAGACGAUGAUGUUGUUAUCAAAUCAGGGACGAUUCCCUCAAUCCAAUUCUCUGACAAAAUCAAGAACGCGUUGUAUCGGCCCUGGCGUACGGCGGUGAUCAUCAAGCUCAUGGGUCGCCCUCUAGCCUACACUUUUUUGAGAGCCCGUCUUCUCCAGAAGUGGGAGCUUAAGGGCCCAAUGAGCCUUAUUGAUUUAGAGAACAACUACUUCAUUGUUAAAUUUGUUUAUGAAGAAGAUAUGAAAUAUGUUCUUACUAGCGGUCCCUGGCAAAUUGCUGGGCAAUACGUGGUGACCCAAAAGUGGAAACCUGGAUUUAAUGCCCAUGAGGAAAAAAUAUCUCAUAUGACUGCUUGGGUGCGUAUCAAUGGAUUGAAUGUUGAAUACUUCCGCUAUGAUGUGAUGGAGAAAAUUGGGAACCUAAUUGGGAAUACAAUCAAGGUUGAUGCCAAUACGAUGAGUCAAGCUCGAGGUAAGUUUGCCAGAAUUUGCAUUGAACUUGAUUUAGCCAAACCCCUCACCCCAUUUAUUGAGGUUGAAGGUCGUACCUAUGGAGUUGUAUAUGAAGGCAUUAACCUGGUCUGCUUUGAAUGUGGGUGUUAUGGCCAUGGAAGGGAUACCUGUCCUAUUAUUGUGCAAGCUAAAAAACAGGCAGCUGAUUCUGUUGACACUGAGGGCAUGGAAAUGAAUAAUACAAACAAAAUUGAUGAAUUGCAAGUUGAUAGCCCAACUACACUGGCUGCUGAAAAUCCAGCUAAGAUACAUGGAGAGUGGAUGCUGAUGAAGACAAGGAAUUUUAAGAAGAAGGUCUUGAAUGACUCAGGAAAGGGUGCUGAAAUUAGCAAGAGGAACCCAAAGAACUCAAAUGAUUACAAUGGCUCUCGAUUUAAUGUCCUGAAUGAGGAAGGAAAAAGUGGUAAUGGAAUAAUUUUGGAAGAGUUUACCCCUGUCAAAGCAACUACUU
rnacentral:lncRNA from 1 species